GACCUCGAAUCAGGUAGGGAUACCCGCUGAACUUAA
rnacentral:rRNA from 1 species